rnacentral:rRNA from 1 species
UACGAAGGGUGCAAGCGUUAAUCGGAAUUACUGGGCGUAAAGGGUGCGUAGGCGGUUCGUUAAGUCUGUCGUGAAAUCCCCGGGCUCAACCUGGGAAUGGCGAUGGAUACUGGCGAGCUAGAGUGUGUCAGAGGAUGGUGGAAUUCCCGGUGUAGCGGUGAAAUGCGUAGAGAUCGGGAGGAACACCAGUGGCGAAGGCGGCCUUCUGGACCAGUACUGACGCUCAUGCACGAAAGCGUGGGGAGCAAACAGG